rnacentral:rRNA from 1 species
GGUCCGUGUUUCAAGACGGGCGGCUUGCAACCAUUACGCCAGCAUCCUAGGUAAAGAAUACCGCAGGCCUCGGUCGCCAGUGGGUGUAUCGUUGCAAGGCUAUAAUACUUCCGAGGAGCUACAUUCCUUGUUCCUUAUCCACCCCUAGCAACCGAUGCUGGCCCGGCACGAAGGCCGUGUCUGCUUGCAAAGCCCCUUUCCCUUUCAACAAUUUCACGUACUGUUUCACUCUCUUUUCAAAGUGCUUUUCAUCUUUCCAUCACUGUACUUGUUCGCUAUCGGUCUCUCGCCGGUAUUUAGCUUUAGAUGGAAUUUACCACCCACUUUUGGAGCCUNGCAUUUCCCCAACAACUCGACUCUUUGGAGAGGAGACACAAGACGGUGUUGUGGUACCUACGGGGCUCUCACCCUCUAAGGCGCCCUGUUCCAAGGGACUAUGGUGCCACUAGCCGCGGGGUCUCCCAACCUACAAAUUACAACUCCCGAAGGAUUUCAAAUUUGAGCUUUUGCCGCUUCACUCGCCGUUACUGAGGCAAUCCCUGUUGGUUUCUUUUCCUCCGCUUAUUGAUAUGC